GCCAGCAGGCCCCUAAUUACAGGCUGCAGGCUCUGGCAAUGAUGCCAGACUCUAUGGGACAACAGGUCACCAAGGCAACCCUGCCCAGUGGAUUUGGCCAACGUUUUGGACCGUGUAAAUAACACCUCUAUUCAUGUCCAGCUGCUGGUGACCCGGAAGAGGCAGCAGACGCUGUGGAGGCUUUGCCAGCCUCCCUGCCUGGAUCAUGAGACCCUGAGCAAUACACUUGUCUUUCUGAGUCUCUGCUUCCUCCUCACAAGGCAGGGUGCUAAGAUCUACCUCCCAAGGAGCUGGUGUGCAUUGUGGAAAUCAGAUACAGUGCCGAGCACCACGCCUGGAACUGUGGUCAUGGCACUGUGACCACCAUCGUCAUUAGCGUUUUGGAGGGAGGCCACGCAGUUCUGUGGCUGCUUGUGUCUCUGAACUUGCUCACUCAUGUGGCUCCUUAAAGAGUGGUUUGUGGUGGUUUCUUCCUCAGAUGAGAACAGCACCGGGUCCCGGGUUUCUAUUUGCCUUGCAUCUCCCAAAAGUGCUGACUUACUCAACCAAGUACACCCAGGCCCCGGGGCUGACCAGGGAAGUGAUUCAGGGUGUGGCACAGGGGUGGGCAGGAGCACCCACCUGCUUGAGCCCCACAACACCAUUGGGUGCGGCUGCCCAAGGACCCCCAACACUCAUCCACACUUUUGGCCCUUUAGAGACCCAAGGCUUAGACUGCUCCAAGAAGGGAGGCUGCACCCUCAGCUGGAGAGAGGAUUCAAAUGGUAGCUAGCAAGACUCCAGAGAUGUACAAGCAGCUGGGGGCCACCAGAUACAGCAGGCAACCGGGCCCUUUAAGUGUGGCUAGUCCAGAUUGGCAUGUCCUGAGAGUGUAAAAUCCACACUGGAUUUCAAAGACUUUGUACCAAAAUUUAUAUAUGUAUUUUUAUAUAUAAUAAUAUCUUAGAUAUUAGAUAUAUAUCAGAUAUAUAGAUAACAUAAUAUAUAUUAGAUAUAUGUAUAUCUAAUAUAUCUAACAUAAUAGAUAAUAUAUACAUUAGAAUCUGUUUCUUUUCACUUUAAAAAUAUGGCUACCAGAAGCUUUGAAAUGACACGUGGCUGGUAUUUACAGCUCACGUUGUGUUUCUAUAGGGUAGUGCCACUCAACAGACUGUCCAAUAUAUAUGACUUGUUUUAGGGGCCUGGUCCUGGGAGGCCAGGGUCCUCCUCUUUCCUUGAUCCCAGGAGAUCCUGCAGGGUCCUCGCCACCUAGCCCCCUUGGCCUUGGUGCACAUACAACAAAAUCCAGAACCCUGGAAGGCUCCUGUGCUCCCCUGCAUCUUUGGAUCUGCACACCCAGCCCUGUGCACACAGUCCCUCAAGCACAUAUAGCUCUUUUAUGAAACUUGGGAACAGGACUUCCUGAUUCAAGGUACUUUCCUGGUGUCCUCCAGAAAAUCAACACAAUAAACAUGCAAAUCUAUGACAGCUACCGUGGGAAUAAUGUCUCGGAUACAGCACCCUUGUCCAGUAUGCAGCUUGCACAGCCGUAUGUGGCAGCCCUGCCAGUAUCUAGCUGCUCAAUAUUAGUUGGAGAGAUAAUUAAGGAAGAAAUAAUAGGGACUCCCACCCCCAUGAUGUUUCUGGGCUGAGGCUGCACCUCUUGUCCAAUGAAAAUGACAGUUUUUUUCAAGCAAGAGGCCACUUCUCAGGACUGUGGCCCUAGCCUCACUCACUGCCCACACGUGAAAACCACGUCAACGUAGCAGCACACCUCCAACAUUCAGAAAGUUCAUACAGCUACGGGCAGAAGGUAAACACCUACUGAUGCUUCAAGCCCAGCCUAGGACCCUCUGCGAAGAAUCUCCGUCUCUGCACUGCUGAUGUCACAGAACAGCCCAGGGAGGGGUCGCUGGGCUAGUCUAACCUGAGCUGUUACCGUCUUGGUUGAGGGACCAUUGCUUUGUUGGAGGAUGGGUGCCGAUACAGACUGGUGCAGUGUGCUGGCAUGCUUUUAUCAGAGAGUGCUGAUACACAUCUGCUUAGAAUGAUUAAAGUUUCUCAUCUCGUCUGACUCAUAGGGCAGCAUCCACAGAAAAGCAGAGGAUGAGAUAAGCCGGGAGGGCUGGGAGUGUCCGACUUUCACAGCUCUGUUUUCACCUCACAAUGUCCUGUUUGCUCUCAGUGAGUUUGUUGGUUGGUUAUAUAAACAUGUAGAUAUUUACUCAUCUGUGGCAGGGUGAGUUUAACCCUUUUCUUCCUUAGCUUCUCACAUAUAGCUUUUAUUUGUGUUUCAUUCAUGUUUAGCGUUGAUGAUUUCUCUCAUUUGACACUUUUCCAUUACAUGGAAAUUUCAGUCCCCAGAAAAAAUGUAAAAGAGGGUGUUUUGCUUGUUUGUGAAUUCAUCUUUCUUUUCUUUUAAAAGCAUUUUCUAUUUUCCCACAUAUGAGUUUGAUUGCAACUAGAGAGCAACAGGAAGUGAGUGAGGGGCCAAGCUGAGAGCAUCAAAACAAUUCUCAGCCCCGUUUUCCAGAGCUCCUUGCAGUUCCUUUAACCAAAUGGAUGCUUUGCGGAGAGUUAGGUUAUUUAGUACAGUAAACAAUUUUUUUCUUUUCCUUUCAGCCACUUAAUGUGGUAUCAUGAAAGGAAGAUCAACUUCUUAAUGAAAAAAAGCUGUGAUGGAAGAGGAGGCUAUAGCACAUCAGGAGCGCUUCCAGGCUUACAUAAGUAACAUUCCUGCUGCAUAAACAUCUUGGCAAAUCCGGAGACUAAAUCCCAUCCCACACCGCUGGCCUGAACCAAACACUGUAUAAUGUUUUAAAAAAGAAAAAGAAUCCCGUUGAUGGUAACAGUUUUCUUUCCAGAAACAAGUCAUUAGUUUGGACAAAAAAAUCCAAUUGCAUCUGCUGAGCUCCCCAAAGUUCUAGUGGAAAUUAUUAUCUAGAGAAAAAGCAAGUGAGGAGUAAGAGUGGAGGAUUGUGAUCUCUUAAGAGUAAAACAGAAACGGCACUUAAACCCCAUGAUGUGCCUUUCAGCGCAAAAUUGCAAACCCCAAAUAAUUAAACUAUCCUAAUUUGGCAAAUGUCAACAAGAGAGUUCAAAAAUAAUCAUCAUAAUUUUAAUGCAUUAUUAACUCUACUAGAGAUUUUAAACAAAAUUAAACAUUGAUCUAUUUACUUAACUCCUGAAAUGACAUGAAGUUGAAGCAUACAGGCCGGGUGUGGCAGCUCAUGGCCAUAAUCCCAGCAUUUGGGAGGCCUUGGUGGGCGGGUCACCUGAGGUCAAGAG
rnacentral:lncRNA from 10 species